rnacentral:lncRNA from 1 species
UUCUUUUAAUCGUGUUCUGCAGCAUUUGCAGCAAUGGUUGAAAAAAACUGAUACAUGUCUUAUAGUUCUCUGGAUACUUCUCAGUGUCUUUCUCAGGUUCCCUUGAAAAAUGUUUAUGCAUUUCUCAAGGCAUGCUACCUUGAGUUUGUUGACAUGUGAACCUUGCAAAAUAUAGAUAUAAGCAUGGUUAAUAAAAUCUCAAAAUAUAGAUAAACAAGAGGUAUAAGGAAACCGAC